rnacentral:rRNA from 1 species
CGGGGGAGCAAGCGUUGUUCGGAUUUACUGGGCGUAAAGGGCGCGUAGGCGGCCACCGCAAGUCGACUGUGAAAUCUCCGGGCUUAACCCGGAAAGGUCAGCCGAUACUGCGGGGCUAGAGUGCAGAAGGGGCAACUGGAAUUCUCGGUGUAGCGGUGAAAUGCGUAGAUAUCGAGAGGAACACCUGCGGCGAAGGCGGGUUGCUGGGCUGACACUGACGCUGAGGCGCGAAAGCUAGGGGAGCGAACGGGAUUAGAUACCCCGGUAGUCCUAGCCUUAAACGAUGAAUGCUUGGUGUCUGGGGGUUUUAUAGUCCCCGGGUGCCGUCGCUAACGCUUUAAGCAUUCCGCCUGGGGAGUACGGUCGCAAGACUG